rnacentral:rRNA from 1 species
UACGUAGGGACCAAGCGUUGUUCGGAUUUACUGGGCGUAAAGGGCGCGUAGGCGGCAAUUCAAGUCAUCUGUGAAAUCUCCGGGCUUAACCCGGAACGGUCAGAUGAUACUGCUUUGCUAGAGUGCGGAAGGGGCAAUCGGAAUUCUUGGUGUAGCGGUGAAAUGCGUAGAUAUCAAGAGGAACACCAAUUGCGAAGGCAGCUCGCUGGGACGUUACUGACGCUGAGACGCGAAAGCGUGGGGAGCAAACAGG